GCCUCAUUGGCUCAGGGGAAGAGGGUCUGUCUAGUAAACAGAUGGUCGCUGGUUCGAUUAUAGCAUGAGGCA
rnacentral:tRNA from 1 species